GUGUUGGAUGGGAUGUACACUCCGCUGCUCCUCUGGAAUGCACUGCUACCAGGAUGGUAAACUCUCAGCACCAGUAAGGAAUUAGAGAGGUGGAGUUUAAAGGAAAGGAAGACAUUUACUUGGAAAAGGAUGGGAAAAGAGAAGACAGACAGCUACUCUGGAAGAUCAAGGGGCAUCGGAAAGGCAAGAAAACUGAAGCACAGAUAGUAAUCAGUAUUUGUUCAGUGGCCAAGCUGGUGCUCAAAUAAGAAGCUAAUUCCAGAACCCUGGCUCCUUACAUCAUAAUCCAGUAUCUUCUAUAUAUAAGGAAAACAUGUGAAGAAAAGAAAAGGUGCUUUGCACAAGGACCUGGUUUAGCUAAAUUCUACUGUAGUAACAUUAUUCAUCAUUUAAAAUUCAGAAUGCUCUAACUGCAGAACUAAUCAAGAUAAACUGAAAAGCACUGGUAUUGUUCACAAUUGCUGAAAGUCUUGGCUCAAAUAAGAGGUGCAGAUUUAGAAAUGUUUUGAUAAAGAUUUGAUUUCAGAUAUUGCAGAAUAAAAUGGUUUUGCCUUA